CUUAAAUUAUUAGGGACGUUCAUGAACCUGACUUUUCUUGUUACUCUGAAUUAUUCUUAUCUUUCUGAAUUGCUUUAUUUUCGUUGAUCUCCUUCGAUGGCCGGAUAAGUAUGAAUAUUUGGUUAUAUUACAUAGUGAUAUGUAAUUAAUGGACAAAGAGAAGACCGUGGAUCCCCAGUCACCACCUCCCCCAUGGUCAGACCAUGAAUGCUCUUCGGACAUUGAAUACCUCAUGGAUUCCGAUGGAGAGAAGUACGAGGUUUAUUCCGAUGGAACGCAUGACAUGACCAGCAAAGAAUGGGACGAAUGUUGCAGGCGGGUCGAGGAGGAGAGCGAAGACUAUGAUGUGCAAGUAUUUCCGAUUGUUGCAAACUUCGGUAUAAUCCAACCCAUGGCCCUCGACGAGAAGCAGCUACCCAAAUUUAUCCGUGCCGCGGCUGUCACUCUUGACAAAUACAAGAAGGAUAAGGGUACCACGGCUGCAGUUUAAGGAGGUAAAAAAAUGCGCUGCAGCAGGAGGUUAGUGGCACGCUAUACUAUCUCACCUUUGAGGUUGUGGAUCCGGACGACGAGAAUCGCGUCAAAGUCUUUCAGGCGAAAGUGCUCGAAUUGUUUGGAGACGAUGAGUAUGAGGUCGAUCAGAUUCGACCCAAACCUACGUACCCCUUGAUUAUUCAUAUGGUAUGGCCUAUGGGAGAAUAAUCCUCGUCCUCGUCCCAAUAGGGAACCGAAGCGUCUCCUUCCUCACUUCCGAAGCUCAGAAGCUCGCCAGAGAUAAGCCAUGGCCACCGCUCUGCAAGUGACGAUGAGCUCUCUAGCUCCGUCUUCAUCUGCACCUUCCACCAGGAGAAGAACUCUCUGCUGCGCCGUCAACUCUAAGAACUCCGCGAAGAUUCCGAUUCCUCCGAUAAACCCUAAGGACCCCUUCCUGUCCAAGUUAGCAUCGGUCGCUGCGACCUCACCGGAAACGCUGCUCAACCGCCCCGUGAGCUCGGAUACGCCGCCGUACGUGGACCUGUUCGAUUCUCCGAAGCUCAUGGCUACUCCUGCUCAAGUAAGCAUGCUCCCCCAUGCUUCGUGUAUGCUGAGCUUCUUAAUGAAUCGCUGAGAGCUUCAAUGGAUAUGGAUGAAGUUAUCCCUAGUCUUUAGUUUCCAAUUUGUAGUGUUCGGUGCAGUCAGAGGAAAACUUAGCUCGGUCAACGAAGAAGUUAUCACUUACAAGAAAAAGGUCUAAUUUUUACGAAAUCAUAUGAUUAAGAUUGGGCGCGAACCCUAUUCUUCGACUAAAGCUGUUAUCGAUAUGUUUAAGAUCCAUUUAUAUGUCUUGUUGAAUCUAUAAAUAGGCGAGCCCGGUGUAAUUCGCUGAGUCGAACCUAAAGAAUAUAAAGAAUUUGCUAGAAUGUCACACACACCAAAUGGUGUGAAUGUAUUCUUAUUUAUAGUAAAUGGAAUGCAACAAUUGUGGAAAUAUAUCAAAGAUUACACAAUAUCAUAAAUAUCAAAUAUUCU